GUUAAGGGGAUUCUGGUACGUAGCCAACCCAGCGUCGGUCAAGGACCCUCCCUAGGCGCUAGGGGGAAAGGAAGUACAUAUCUUAUAGAAUACCAUUAGGGCAAUACUAGGUUGAGCAACACAGCUUAGGGUUGCUCUUUGCAAGUUGAAGCGAAGAAAAGGCAGAGGAUAGUGGGUGUGUGCCGCUUAUGCAAGCAUUUUCAUCGCUUCCGCAUAUCUCAUGUGCACUCUUCGUUCCUUGUCGGUUUGGCUUGGCAUCCUUCCACUGUUUGCGUGUUUUGUGCCACGGACUUGAUGAUGCACUCCGCGUUCCCUUGUUGGGCGACCGUGGCCUUGGCGACAGGUAGCGGCGUGCUCUUGGGCGCUUUGCUUCCUUGCAUAAGACGGAAACGGGGCCGACUGCCCGUGCUCUUGCUCCACCAGUGGUGGUGCUUGAGCUUGUGGCCAUGGUGGCAACCUGCAUGGGAGCAUGGGAUGUAGGAACAAAGCAGCACACAAUGCCUAGCCAAGCUGCCAGGCAAUCGAGAGUAUAGCAGAGGUGUGAGGGGAGGGGUGAAAACGUUGUCGGGAGCGGACCGCCGUCGCCGUCAGCCUUUGGACCCAAAGUCGAGCAGUGAGGUGAUUGUGAUUGGGGAAGCGAGGAAGAGGGCACUAUGAGCAGAAAGGAACGAUCAACCACCGUGAUGGCAGACGGUUGUGGGUAGACCCGGUGUCUACAUGUGGAUUUUGCUAGACGGGAUAUGACAUGACAUGGUUUUUGUGUGGUGAGGUGCUAUGGGAUAAGACAUUACACGAGAUAUGACAUGACACAGGAUAUAACUUACGUGUGGGUGUGUUUGGUUGUCGCCGGCAGGGAACUCUGCUAUGUGUGCUUCCACAUAGUCUGAGCUCCCUUGUGUGACUUCGUGGUUGCAAACUUCUUACAAUGGAUAAGGCCUUACUACAAGGACAUAAAUAAUAUCCAUUUGUGUCGAGAGAAGUCAUCUUUAAAGAUAAUAUAGUAACGAUGACUCCUUUCGAGGGAAGGGAGCCGGACCACAAACAUUAGAGUGAGCAAGAUCAAAAGGACGCUGAGAUAGUCUUGCUAUGAGCAUAGGGUAACUGGUGGAUGUGGAGCUUGGGCUAAAUGGCGUUCGGUACGGAAGUUUGUUCUAGUG
rnacentral:lncRNA from 1 species